rnacentral:rRNA from 1 species
UGGGGAAUUUUGGACAAUGGGGGAAACCCUGAUCCAGCCAUCCCGCGUGUGCGAUGAAGGCCUUCGGGUUGUAAAGCACUUUUGGCAGGAAAGAAACGUCAUGGGUUAAUACCCCGUGAAACUGACGGUACCUGCAGAAUAAGCACCGGCUAACUACGUGCCAGCAGCCGCGGUAAUACGUAGGGUGCAAGCGUUAAUCGGAAUUACUGGGCGUAAAGCGUGCGCAGGCGGUUCGGAAAGAAAGAUGUGAAAUCCCAGAGCUCAACUUUGGAACUGCAUUUUUAACUACCGGGCUAGAGUGUGUCAGAGGGAGGUGGAAUUCCGCGUGUAGCAGUGAAAUGCGUAGAUAUGCGGAGGAACACCGAUGGCGAAGGCAGCCUCCUGAGAUAACACUGACGCUCAUGCACGAAGGCGUGGGGAGCAAACAGG